rnacentral:tRNA from 1 species
GACCUCUUAGCGCAACAGUAGCGUUUCUGACUCCAGAUCAAAAGGUUGCGUGUUCUGAUCACAUCGGGGUCA